GACAAAUCAUAGUGUAAAAGCAGGUCAGCUGGUUUUACUCUUUGCCAUUUUCUGGUGAUUUGUGGUGGAAAACUGACUGGGACGAGCAUAACACAUCAACCCUGUUACCAAUAGAUAGACAGAUUGGGCAUGUUUUGACAAAAAUAAUUAAAAGCUUGAAUUCAAUUGCCCCUCCCUGUUGCACAGAACAAGCUUCCAUCCCCCCUGUCUCAAGGGGAUUCAUGGCUGAUUCAAGAUGAAUUUGUCAACCCUGUUACUUUAUUUGGCACUUAAUAGGCACUUACUAUGGUCAAUUUUAUUCAACCUUUUGAGAUGGGAUUUUUUUAUUUUAAAUGUAUGAAGUUGAAUAUGUGAUCUUUAUGACAGAAGGUAAACAUUUUGUGAAAUCCCCCCCCAAAAAAAAUGUGUACACUUCUCAAAAGGCACCGAAUUGGUGGAACGACCCUUUUCCAUUUGAUUUCCCCAUAUCCUUUCUCCUACUGCAAAGAAACAGCACCAACGAGAUAAUAUUUCUGUGUGUGUUACUGUCUGUCUCUCUAUCUGUCUGUUUCAGUGUGGGUGGGUGGCUGAAUGUGGGUGCAUGUGUUCACGUGUUUGGUGAUAAACACUGACAACACGGUGAGCACUCAGACAGGAGUUUUCUGUAUUUGGGACAGUUCCUUGCCCCAAAACCAAUUAUGCCCUAUGGUCCAGAAGGAACAUGUCCCACCUUUGCUUACUACACACAGAAACACAUACAGUGUAUGAAAUGAAUUGUAACCAUCACAGACAGUGGAUUCCUGCUUGAUAUUCUGGUGUAUGAAUUUACAGCUAAAGAGUAAGAAGCAUUUCCCAGCUCCCCCACACAGUUGGCUAACGGUCCACAUGAAUGGCUUCCAUCCAAUAUGGCAGCAAUUCACCAUCUGAGGAAAAGCUUUGCUCCUGUGUCAUGACCUGUUCUAUUGAUGUGUGCUUAAUGUCCAAUACUUUGUGAUCCAUUGGAAGCGUGGUAAGGCUCAAAUUUGUUUGUGUUGGAUGUGUGUACCACUGGGCACAGACAUCAGUUCAACUUCUAGUUUUGAUUUACAUUUGGUUGAGUUGUCAAAGAACGUGAAUUCAACGUGAAAUCAACCAACAAAAUUCACCAUGUCAUUAGAUUUAGGUUAAAAGUUUGGUAAAAAAAAUGACCAAAUUCCUGUACGUUGAUUCAGCAUCAUCACCGAAUUUUGGGGUUGAAAUGAUCUGAAACAACUUUGAUUCAACCAGUUUUUGUCCCAGCAGGUUGUGUGUGUAUGUACGUUGUGUGUUGCGUAUGUCCCUCUGUGUCUGUUUGGGGGUGCACAUGCCUCUGUGUGUGUUGUGGAUGGCACGGACCUUCUUUGUUCUCCCCAACUCCCUAAGCAUCUUUUGAGGCCGCGGUACAAGACAGGUUUCUGUAAAACAGAGCCUUCCAUUAUUAUUUUCCUUGAAGAAUGUAGCCAAGAGUGUUCAAUAAGCUGGGCGGAGAGGGUUAGGGGGGGGGGGCUUGGGAACCGUUAGGAGGUGUGUGCGGGGCUUGUACCUCGUGAGUGCAAGCAGGGUAAUACUUAAGGGGCUCGGCUGAAAUGACGUUCAGCUUGCAAGUGGAAAACAGACUGUUAAUAGUGUUCCGUUUGUCCUGUUUUGGCCGCUAGGGGCAUGGCAGGUGUUGUAACGGCUGCCUCAUUGAUUGAGUUAUGUAUUGCUGCUCUGAUGAUUGGUGUGGGCGUUCAUUGGUUUGCUUUGAGAAAAUGCAGGUAAUAGAGUUGGGAACUUGGGAGAAAUAUGUUUUUCCAGCUUACGUUUUUGGAGAAUAACCUUAUGAGGAUAUUGUUACAGAGGAUUAGAACUGACUAGAGCCAACACCCACGUGAAGGCAACUCUGAUGCAACAGAGGCAAGAAAAACUUGAGUUCAGAGGGAUCUAUUGAAAACCAUAUUAUGACAUUUUAAUCCUGCCAAUGAUACAAUGAUAACUAUACUACAGGAAAAGGAGUUUGUGUGUGUGUGUGUGUGUGUGUGUGUGUGUGUGUGUGUGUGUGUGUGUGUGUGUGUGUGUGUGUGUGUGUGUGUGUGUGUGUGUGUGUGUGUGUGUGUGUGUGUUUGGUGUGUUUGGUCUAGAGAAAGAGGUUGGGCACGUACUUGUGUGCGACUUCAUUUUGUGAAGCGCAUUGACUUUUAAAAGUCAUGACUGUCAGGUGUCUAUCGGUAAACCCUCCUCUAGAUGUGCUUGUAUACAGUAGUAUGUUGACCUAUGGUCAUUGAAAAGCACUAUAACACCUCUAUGGCCCUUGGAGCUCUGCUCCUUGACCUGCGCUGUGACCUGGUCACUACCUCAGACAUGGAGAGCUGUAAAUAUUGUAACGCGUGAAGAUCUAUGAACGGGGGUGAAGCGAUCGCUCUGGCGAUCUCAUCAGAUUGGCCUGUAUUGUGUCUGUUAACUACUGGACCAAAUUGUUGCCUAUGAAUUAAUAGCACUAAUAGGUAACACCUUUAGGAGCUUUUGACGGCAGGUGAUUACAGUUGGUGAAUUGAUUGGUCUGCAUUAUGCUGCUUGGACUACCUAAUGUGUGUACAAUGUCUAUUGAGGUGACUAAUCGUGGAGAUAUUUUUGUAAAAGGUGUGGUGGAAAAUAUAUCCCUAGGCAGCAAGGAAUGUACAAUUAAUUAACAAAAAUAUAUAUAUUAGAGAAUUAGCCAUCUGUAUGAAUACAUAUGCAAUGUUUGUCAGGUUGAAAACGGGUUUGAUCGGUCAGGACUGCUCAGGUUUGAAAGUGAGGCCUCAAAGGGUGCUUUUCUUAACCCCUCCUUUUCCCAUGCUGUGUCCUGUCUUUCCCAUGGCACUGAUCUGACAUGUACACUCCUAGCGCAGGUUACCCUGCAAGUCCAUCGGCCAACGCUCCACUAAAGCCUUGUAUUGUAUGCAAAGCCAGAGAAAUGCUCUGUUAAGCUAGUUUUGAAAUCCAGCGAAGGGACCAAAUGUUCUCACACAGUAACAGACUGGUCUAAUUGACCCCAUAGAUUUAACAAUACCCAUUCAACUAGGAACACACUGGUUGAAUCAACGUUGUUUCCAUUUUUUCCCCGUUUUUUUUCUCUUUCCCCCAAUGAAAUUACAUUGAACCAACGUGGAACAGACGUUGAAGUGACAUCUGUGCCCAGUGGGAUGGUACUAUACUACAGUACCUUACCCACUACUAAAUUCAGUCUUAAGGCUCCAUGUCAAACUGCCUCUGCGUCACCACUGAUCUCCAGUCCUGGAAUAGGGACUGCACUCUGGGUGAGGUUUUGUUCUCCAGUCCUGGAAUAGGGACUGCACUCUGGGUGAGGUUUUGCUGUACAGACGUUUGUGUAUGAUCUUUGUGUCGCUGUAUAUUAUCUGAACUUUUGCGAUCCAGAGAGGGGCCACGUGCCAAUUUUAUUCAAAAGAUCUCGACGAUGCACUUCAAGUAUGACACCUGAUUCAAAGCUAUGGGUUUUAUUGUCUUACCAAAUUUGACCAAUGGAAAGUUGUGAGCCUCAAUACCGAUGGGUUAGAAAUUAUUUUCUCUGUUUUGAGUCAUUUUUGUUUCGCACACACACAAAACAAAUUCAACCAGUCCGUUGUUCAAAAGCUUAGUGUAUUUGUGGUUAUUGAUACAUAAAACAGACUUCAAAACCUUCAGCCAGCAGUACAUGCAAAUCUGUCAAAAUAUAUGAAAGAAAACAAAAAAAUGCUGUCUACUACAACUAAGACUUUUUGGUAUACUUUUCUAUCACUGACCUUUAUCUAGGUUCCUUGCUUCACUGCGAUUGCUGAGGGCUGCAGGGAGGUUAUGAGGGUGGGUGCUUCACAGACACUCUGGGGCCAUGACAUUUCGCAAGGUCAGGUCAGAGGUCAGUCUGUGGCAGCCACGUAACACAUAGGUCUAUGUAAUGACACCCUGUGUCUGUACAGUAUACCUGUCUUUGAACACAGUGCAGAACACGUUCCCUAUGACACCUCAACUUUAAACAGAGCCUAUAGAAUGAGAUGGGUUUUUUUGGGGGGGGUUCUUAAGCGACUGCAGCCAAUGGAAAAAGCCAGAUGACCCUGUAGUUCUUACCUUGAGGUUCAGUCUGGAUAUGUGUGAUUGCAGUGUACAACAGACACUUUGAAGAAAGGAUAUUGCAAGGCUGUAGUCUUGAUCUGAGACUGCCGUAACUUGUGGUGGUCAGAGAGGGGACAAAGUACACAGACAAACAUGUGGCCUUCAACAGGCUAAAGACUGUCACCAGUAGGGACCUGAUAAUUUCUCUCUUUCCAUCUUUCUCUUCCUCGCUCUUCCUCUCAGUUUCUCUGGGAGAAUCUCAAUUGUAUACCCCUCGAGUCCUCUCCUCAAAACCUAUUGGAGGAAAAGGUCAGAGGGGAAGGACCUCUGGCUUUCCCAUCCAAUGGGUUUUGAGAAGGAGAGGACGCGAGUAGUAUACAAUUGAGAUUCUCCCUCUAUCUCAGAUGCAGUCACUGUUACAAGGACAUGACGAACAGUAUUCAGGAUCAAUUUCCACAAAGCACAGGGACAAACACAAGGUAGUCAAACACAGGCAGGCAGUAGGCAAGCUCUGGGCAAAAGACUCUCUUACACACACACAAAACCUCUGAAUAUAUAUACUGUGAUUUCCUCUCACACCACCCACACCGUCAUCACACCUACCACCACCACCAACCAACUAACCCCAACCCAAACUCCACCCCCUUCCUCCUGAACCUGUACCUUCGUCCUAUCCCCUUCUCGCCCUAGCAUCUGAAUCCUCCCUCUCCAAUAAGAGUCCAGUGGGUGGUGUGAUGUCAGGUUUUUGUGGUGGGCUGCUUAUGACCGGUCCAGACAAUCAGCGUGUUUGUAAUUGUCAGUGUGUGAUUUUCAAAUCUUUGUUUAUGGUCAGGAUUUUAAAGGAAGAUAUUUUUAUGGUAAUUGUCGCUGGUCUAUUUUACUAUAUAUUUAUGUAAUAAAUAUGUGACUAAAUUUAA
ensembl:lncRNA